rnacentral:SRP_RNA from 2 species
UAGUUGGGCUAGGGGGAGUGUUGACGUGCUCUAUCAUCCACAAAUCGUCAAAAAUGGUGGCCUGAAGUCUGAGGGCGGCGAAUACGAGCCGAUGAUAACCCUGCGGUUAACGUCGAUGUCUCGCCCCCAAGAGAUCCAGGUUGGCGGAGAACACUUCCGUAGGGAAGUGUCGACCGUCUCAAGCUCGGGAAUCAGGUCAGGCGCGGAAGCGAGCAGCCCGACCGGGGAUGCUGGAUGCCUUGGGAAAGCGGGGCUGAGGAGAUCGUGGAACAUUUAUCGUUGGUGACGAGCGUCCACCGAAGACAUGCCCACUA